rnacentral:lncRNA from 1 species
CUCUUUGCUUCUCCGAACCCCCCACCCCCCCAAAAUUCCUUCAAAUACAGCCCUUUUUUCCUCUGGCUAUCGAAGAAUAUUUUUUCGGAUCCAGUUCUUUUGUUUGGACAGAGUAAUCACGGUCGAUUACAUUUUUCCUUUGUUUGGAUUGGGACAAUCCGUAUUUGUUUUGUUUCUUUUAACAGAUUUUGUUUAAUCCACUGUGUUACUCUGUCCAAACAGAUGUAUUGGUUCAUCAAAUUUUCCUCAACCUUCGAUCUCUUAUUUUUUUCUCUUUUGGAUCUCAAUUCUUGCAAGAGUGGUGAAACACGUGGUUUGGUCUGUUAUGUUCGUCUCACGUUCGAUUCUGGCAAGUAUUGUCUUUUUUUUUUUUCUAAAUUUUUGUCACUUAGAAUAUUAAUAUUUCGUUUCCUUUCCUCUCAUAAGCAUUGAUGGGUGAGGUAGCAAGAUAGAAGAACAAAGCCUUGGGCUCCAAAGGUAUGGAAGAAUUUGGGGUGCAGAAUUGACAAAGGGGAUAAGGUUCUUUGGACAACAUGGGCAAGUUGAGGUACAUGACAAUUGCUUGUAAGUAUCUUUUUCAUGAGCUUUUUCAUGAGUUUAUUAAAUGUGUAUUUGAUUAUUUCCAUCGGAGGCUGAGGGAUUUGGGAAGAAGGAAGCAGACAAAUGGCAUCCUUGUUAUUAACUUGCUAAAACUCAAACUACAACUUUGAUGCUGCUGCUUAAACCCAAGCCAUUGACUGUAACUGCCCAUGGGCUGCUGGAUAGAGCUAGAUUCUGAAUGGGAUUUUUUUUAUAGGAAUGGGCUUGACUCAUAUAAAGCCCGAUUUGGCCCAACAAAACAACCACAUCGGCAAAGUUCGAAACUUUAUUACUAUUACAUGGUUUAAACGUUCGAAAGUAAUAAUUUUAAUUCUAUAAAUAAAGUUAAGAAAUUGUUGUAUAUUUUAUGUUUUAAUAUUUUAAUAUUUGUAAUUAUACUUUAAAUAUAUGUGUUAUUUCAAUAAUUCUGUUUAUAGAAUUUAAAAUUUUCAUCUUUAUGAUAAUAAUGAAAAUGUGACACCUUUCUAGUUUCAUAGGUUAAGUUUUUAUAAUAAUCCUUAUAAUUCAAUUGUUAUGUAUGUUAGAGAAGGAGAUUUUAGUUCAACUAUUUUUAUACAUUUUGUAAUUAAAUUGUUAAUUAAUAAAAUUUCCUCUUCUAUGAAUAGAAAAAUUAAAAUACAGCCAUAGAACAAGUAAUACACAAAUAAUCAUUUAAUUUUGGAUGAUUUAUAUUAUGACAUAAUUAAUGUAACAAGUUCAUAAAAAAAGUCUUAUUGCAUUUUAAUUUGAAAGCAUAUUUGAAUUGGCUAAAUACUCAAAUUAAGACUAAAGGUUUUGGUAGUUAUUUAAUUCAAGACUAAACGUUUUAAUUUAUACAAAUAAAGGUAAAAUGUUAUUGAUUUGUAAUAAUGUAAAAUUUAUUUCAAUGAAAAAUGAGAUACUAAUGUUAUGCAUCGUUAAGUUGCUCACAUGUAAAAGCUAUAUUAAAAAAUAUAUAUAAUGUAGAAUAUAAUGCGAAAUUAACUUGAUCAUGUAUAAUGACAAGUGGAAAAAGUUGGUGUUUGUUUUUCUAAGCUUAUUUUCAUUUUUCUUUAUCAUUUUUGUUUGUAUCAUUAGAGAGCUUGAGCGUAAGGUUUACAAGCUGUAAGUCUUUUUCUCGUUUAUUCUCGUUUUUUAUCGUAAAUUGAAAAAAGUUUUUCGUUUUAAUAAUAUUUGAACAUAAUGUUUUUUUCAAAUAUCAGUUCAUCUAGUAACGUAAAUUCAAAGUUAGUAUAAAUUUGGGUUUUCUCAUACUUUGAUUUUUUUUAAUUUGUUAUUCAAAAUAUUAAAAUUGUAAGGUUUUUAAAGGAGGGUCUUAUGAUAUAAACUCGUAUAAGUUAAUAUUAGCUAGUUACCCUGUAGACUUCGAAGGAGAACCC